rnacentral:rRNA from 1 species
GACGAACCGUCCAAACGUUAUUCGGAAUUAUUGGGCUUAAAGGGUGCGUAGGCUGUGCAGUAAGUUGGGUGUGAAAUCCCUCGGCUCAACCGAGGAACUGCGCCGAAUACUGCUGUGCUAGAGGAAGAUAGGGGUAAGCGGAACUGAUGGUGGAGCGGUGAAAUGUGUUGAUAUCAUCAGGAACACCGGUGGCGAAGGCGGCUUACUGGAUCUUUUCUGACGCUGAUGCACGAAAGCUAGGGGAGCGAACGGG